rnacentral:rRNA from 1 species
AGGAUGAACGCUGGCGGCGUGCCUAACACAUGCAAGUCGAACGUCCUGUCUCGCAAGAGGCAGGGAGUGGCGGACGGGUGAGUACCACGUGGGUCAUCUACCGUGAGGUGAGGAAUACCGGCGAGAAAUCGCCGACAAGACCGCAUAGGCUCGAUGCAAGUCGAGCAAAGCUCUCUCGAGAGAGGGAGCGCCACACGAGGAGCCUGCGCCCGAUUAGCUAGCUGGUGGAGUAAUGGUUCACCAGGGCGACGAUCGGUAGCUGGUCUGAGAGGACGAUCAGCCACACUGGGAUUGAGAACGGCCCAGACUCCUACGGGGGGCAGCAGUGAGGAAUUUUCGCAAUGGGGGCAACCCUGAACGAGCAACGCCGCGUGCAGGAAGAAGGUUUUCGGAUCGUAAACUGCUUUUCGUCGGGGAAGAGAACGGACGGUACCCGAGGAAUCGAGCCCCGGCUAACUACGCGCCAGCAGCCGCGGU